AAACUCCGCAAUGGUGGAAACACCGACGGGGGAACUCCCAGUGCCAGCGCAUAGCGUUGGCUUUUCUCGAGCCUAAACAGCUCGGGGAAUAAGGGCUGGGUAAGACGGGUGCCAGCCGCCGCGGUAAUACCCGCAGCUCAAGCGGUCGCCGCUAUUAUUGGGCCUAAAGCGUCCGUAGCCGGCCUUCUAAAUGCCUGGGUAAAUCGGACGGCUUAACCGUUCGAAUUCCGGGUAGACUGGGAGGCUUGGGACCGGGAGAGGCUGGAGGUACUCCGGGGGUAGGGGUGAAAUCCUGUAAUCCCCGGGGGACCACCGGUGGCGAAGGCGUCCAGCUAGAACGGAUCCGACGGUGAGGGACGAAGCCUCGGGGAGCAAACCGGAUUAGAUACCCGGGUAGUCCGAGGUGUAAACGCUGCGGGCUUGGUGUCGGGGAUCCUGCGUGGGUACCCGGUGCCGGAGUGAAGACGUUAAGCCCGCCGCCUGGGGAGUACGGCCGCAAGGUUGAAACUUAA
rnacentral:rRNA from 1 species